GUUUUCUUAAAGUUUUAACCGUCAAAAUUAGUAUUGUAAGGUCACUUGUCUGAUAUAGAGAUUUGAAAUUUUACAGUAUCUACGGGCAUUGAAGGAGAAAGGGGUUGAGGUAAAAGCUAUUGUAUUUCCUAACGACAUUCAUGGAAUCGACAGACCACAAUCUGAUUUUGAAGGCUUUCUCAAUAUUGGAGUAUGGUUCAGGAAGUACUGUCAAUGAGUUGCUUUGUGGAGUGGGAGUAGAGCUCUAACCCUUGAAGUUGAUGAUCCUCAUCAUUCGUGGUGACAUGAAGAAGUCCACCUGCAGUUAAAUGUUUCAUCCUAAUCUUGGUGAAGCGCUGGUUCUCUGCUCCCAUCUCAAGUAUCUCGAUCAAUCAUACUUCAUACUUUGAACCUUCAGGUCUUGACUCUCAUCACAGAUCAACUUUAGGGUAAUAAAGGGGAUUCCCCGUGCGAUCGCCAAACAGCCAGCGAAGCAAGAGCCAUGGCCACAAAAUAAAAAAAAUAAAUCGUUGACUGAAACUCUCCUGGUUGACUGCUAAAUUGCCAGGAUAAUUAAAUUGGGAUGUAAACUUUCUAGCUUUUAUGAAUUGUAUUAAAUUGGUGUUUGAUAAUUAACUUGAAUUAAUGAGAACUUAUAUUUUUAA